GAUGAAUGCUGGCGGCGUGCCUAACACAUGCAAGUCGAGCGGCAGCGCAGUGUGAUUUUGCUCUGUCGGCGGGCGGGUAACGGACGGGUAACGAGUAGGACUUUGCCUCCAUGUGAGGAAUAGCUGACCGAAAGGAUAUCUAAUGACGCAUAUGGUCUUCGGAUUAAAGGAUUUAUCCGCUUUGGGAGAAGCCUGCGUUGGAAUAGGUGGUUGGCAGGGUAAUGGCCUAGCAAGGCGAAGAUCCAUAGAUGGUCUGAGAGGAUGAUCAGCCAGACUGGAAGUGAGACACGGUCCAGACUCCUACGCGAGGGAGCAGUGAGGAAUCCUGCACAAUCGGCGAGAUGCUGAUGGCGCUACGCCGGGUGAGGGAUGAAGUUGUGAGAGUAGUAAAGUUCGUUAAUACGUGAAGAUUAUGACGGUAACUCAAGAAUAAGCACCGGCUAACUUCGUG
rnacentral:rRNA from 1 species